UGCGCAGGCGGGGCAAUAAGUCAGUGGUGAAAUCCUGCGGCUUAACCGUAGAACUGCCAUUGAUACUGUUGCCCUUGAGUAUAGUUGAGGUGGGCGGAAUAUGUAAUGUAGCGGUGAAAUGCAUAGAUAUUACAUAGAACACCAAUUGCGAAGGCAGCUCACUAAGCUAUCACUGACGCUGAGGCACGAAAGCGUGGGGAGCGAACAGGAUUAGAUACCCUGGUAGUCC
rnacentral:rRNA from 1 species